rnacentral:rRNA from 1 species
CCACGCUGCCAAGAAAAGCGUCUAGAGAGAGAAGUAGUGCCCGUACCGCAAACCGACACAGGUAGGUGAGGAGAGAAUCCUAAGGCCGGCGGAAGAAUUACAGUUAAGGAACUCGGCAAAUUGACCCCGUAAGUUCGCGAGAAGGGGUGCCUACGAGAGUAGGCCGCAGAGAAUAGGCCCAAGCAACUGUUUAGCAAAAACACAGGUCUCUGCUAAAGCGUAAGCUGAUGUAUAGGGGCUGACGCCUGCCCGGUGCUGGAAGGUUAAGGGGAACACUUAGCGCAAGCGAAGGUGUGAACUUAAGCCCCAGUAAACGGCGGCCGUAACUAUAACGGUCCUAAGGUAGCGAAAUUCCUUGUCAGGUAAGUUCUGACCCGCACGAAUGGCGUAAUGACUUGGGCACUGUCUCAACUGUAAAUCCGGCGAAGUUGUAGUGCGAGUGAAGAUGCUCGCUACCCGCGAUUGGACGGAAAGACCCCGUAGAGCUUUACUGUAGCUUAGCAUUGAGUUUUGGUAUUGUCUGUACAG